rnacentral:rRNA from 1 species
UACAGAGGGUGCGAGCGUUAAUCGGAAUUACUGGGCGUAAAGCGUGCGUAGACGGUUAUGUAAGUUAGGUGUGAAAGCCCCGGGCUCAACCUGGGAACGGCGCGCGAAACGGGGGGGCUGGAGUUCGGGAGAGGAGCGUGGAAUUCCCAGUGUAGAGGUGAAAUUCGUAGAUAUUGGGAAGAACACCGGUGGCGAAGGCGGCGCUCUGGACCGAGACUGACGCUGAGGCGCGAAAGCGUGGGGAGCAAACAGG